GGUGAACGCUGGCGGCGUGCCUAAUACAUGCGAGUAGAACGCUGAAGGAGGAGCUUGCUCUUCUGGAUGAGUUGCGAACGGGUGAGUAACGCGUAGGUAACCUGCCUGGUAGCGGGGGAUAACUAUUGGAAACGAUAGCUAAUACCGCAUGACAACAGUUAUUGCAUGAUAACUGUUUAAAAGGGGCAACUGCUCCACUACCAGAUGGACCUGCGUUGUAUUAGCUAGUUGGUGAGGUAACGGCUCACCAAGGCGACGAUACAUAGCCGACCUGAGAGGGUGAUCGGCCACACUGGGACUGAGACACGGCCCAGACUCCUACGGGAGGCAGCAGUAGGGAAUCUUCGGCAAUGGACGGAAGUCUGACCGAGCAACGCCGCGUGAGUGAAGAAGGUUUUCGGAUCGUAAAGCUCUGUUGUAAGAGAAGAACGAGUGUGAGAGUGGAAAGUUCACACUGUGACGGUAUCUUACCAGAAAGGGACGGCUAACUACGUG
rnacentral:rRNA from 1 species